rnacentral:rRNA from 1 species
UAGGGAAUAUUGGUUAAUGGGCGAAAGCCUGAACCAGCAACGCCGCGUGCACGAUGAAGGCCUUCGGGUUGUAAAGUGCUUUUAGAAGGGAAGAGGAAGGACGGUACCUUCUGAAUAAGUCUCGGCUAACUACGUGCCAGCAGCCGCGGUAAAACGUAGGAGACGAGCGUUAUCCGGAUUUACUGGGCGUAAAGCGCGUGCAGGCGGUUUGGUAAGUUGGAUGUGAAAGCUCCUGGCUUAACUGGGAGAGGUCGUUCAAUACUGCCAGACUUGAGAGUGGUAGAGGGAGGUGGAAUUCCGGGUGUAGUGGUGAAAUGCGUAGAUAUCCGGAGGAACACCAGUGGCGAAAGCGGCCUCCUGGACCAUUUCUGACGCUCAGACGCGAAAGCUAGGGUAGCAAACGGG